rnacentral:rRNA from 1 species
UACGAAGGGGGCUAGCGUUGCUCGGAAUCACUGGGCGUAAAGCGCACGUAGGCGGCUUUCUAAGUCAGGGGUGAAAUCCUGGAGCUCAACUCCAGAACUGCCUUUGAUACUGGAGAGCUUGAGUCCGGAAGAGGUGAGUGGAACUCCUAGUGUAGAGGUGGAAUUCGUAGAUAUUAGGAAGAACACCAGUGGCGAAGGCGGCUCACUGGUCCGGUACUGACGCUGAGGUGCGAAAGCCAGGGGAGCAAACAGG